UGUGCUAUAGCUUUGAAGUUUUCUCUCUUCUGCUUUGCAAGAAAUAAAGAGUACCGGUGUGUAGCAUACUUAUCUGAUGAGCCCAAUGCUUGCUUUGUGCAGGAAAUAUUUCCCACGUUCUGUGUGACUAUGCACCUCCCAGAAUGCAAUACAUAUUAUGAGCUGAAUCCUUGUCUUCUCUUCAGUGAGAGGAAGUUGCCUUUGCUGUAAACUGCUCACUCCUUGCAAGUAAAAUCCUGAAGAAGGUCUCAACUGAUUGUGUCUGCGUCAUUUAACAUUAAAAAGGGAACUAACAAUUUCCCUAACAAUCUCCUUAUGAAAAAGUUAUAUUGAUGGAGAAAGUGCAACUUGUUCCUGAGGUCUUUGAUGCUUAUGUCUCAAACCCUGAUAAACCUUCACAAAAAUAACCUCUAUUUUUUCUUCUGUUCUCAGCAAGGCCCAGUCUCACUAACUGAAAGAGGACCUGGUGGAAUCUUCCUGGCAUCAACACUUAUUGGUGGCACAUCUUCCUUGAGUGACAUAACAGAUAUUACAGCUCCAGUAAAUUAGAUAGAUUCUGUAGGCAGGUAUGAUCUGUUAUCAGACAAGCUUCUAUCACAUUUAUUCCUGUUUUGCUAGAGUGUUAAUGCAAGUUAAAAGACUUCCAGUCUUUCAGUAACUUAUUUUUUAGACACAACUUUCAGGAAGUCAGCAUAUUUUUUAUAGGAGGUACAACUGGGUAUUUUGAGCUUAUAGAUGAUAUAACUUACUGGGAAAAACAGAAAGCAAUGUUGGACUGCAAAUUGACCUAUGUUAGGUUUUUAGUAAUGGAACAACAAAGCACAAACAAAAAAUAUGUUUAACCAAAUAAUAAAAGACCACUGGCAGCUGCAGGUAGUUGUGGGACCCGUCAGAGGAUCUCAACAUCUGCAUGAACACAGAAAAUAGUUAGAGGGUGAGUAGGUAAAAUGAGUAGGGAAGAUAUAUAUGAUCCAUUAUAUUGGCAUGACAAAUAAUCAGAUUACUAAGGAUUUCCCAGUAGGGGCAACAAUCCACAAAAAACAAGAAAAUCUCCUGGGUCUGCAGAAAACUCCACAUCUCUUAGCAGUCAGUAGGUAUAACAUUGCUUUCUGAGGUUUGAACGAAAAAAAGACAAAAUUAAACAAAACACAUGGCAUGAUCCAACUGGCUCAGAAACUAUUCGAUUCAAUUCAAUUUUAUUUAUAUAGCGCCAAAUCACAACAAAGUUAUCUCAAGGCACUUUACAAAGUAAGGUUUAAGACCUCACACAACUAAACCCAACAAAUCCCACAUCCAGCAAGCAUUUAAUUAGACAGCCACAGUGGAGAGGAAAAACUCCCUCUCUAACGAGGAAGAAACCUCCAGCAGAACCAGGCUGGAAGCACAGGCAGGAUGGUUGGACCAGGGACUGGAUGCAGGCAGGAUGGUUGGAUCCGCAGCUGCCCAUCACAGACACCAAACUUAGAGUCCUAUGAUACCUGUAGGUGAGGACAGAAUGGAGGAGAGAGAGAGAGAGAGAGUGGGGGAGAAGCACAACUACUGGAGAGAAAGAGACAAGGUUAGUUGAACAUAGAACAAUGAUGGGAGGUUAUUGGACAAAAGAGGUAGAAGGAAACAGAGGAGCUCAGUGUAUGAAUUAAGUCCCCCAGCAGUCUUUGUCUUUUGCAGCUUAACUAAGAGAUGGUUCCUGUGACUAACAAUUAUUGCCAGUGACCUGAACCAUCUUUAACUAUAAGCUUUAUCAAAAAGGAAGGUUUUAAGCCUAAUCUUAAAGGUGGAGAGUGUGUCAGCUUCUCGAACCUGAAGAGGGAGCUGGUUCCAGAGGAGAGGAGCUUGGUAGCUAAAAGCUCUGCCCCCUGUUCUACAUUUAAACACUCUAGGAACCACAAGUAGCCCAGCGCUCUGAGAACGAAGCGUUCUGCUGGGAGCAUAAGGAACUAUGAGGUCUUUAAGAUAAGAAGGAGCUUUAUCAUUGAGUACUUUGUAGGUGAGUAGGAGAAUUUUAAAUUCUAUCCUACAUUUUACAGGCAGCCAGUGCAGAGAAGCUAAUGUAGGAGAAAUGUGAUCUCUCUUUCCAAGUCCUGUCAGAACUCUGGCUGCAGCAUUUUGAAUAAGCUGUAGGCUUUUUAAGGAGCUGUUAGCGCAUCCUAUGAGUAAGGAGUUACAGUAGUCCAGCCUAGAGGUAACAAAUGCAUAGAUCAGUUUCUCUGCAUCGCUCUGAGAGAGGAUGCUUCUGAUUUUAACUAUAUUUCUAAGGUGGAAGUAGGCGGUUCUGGAGAUUUGUUUAAUGUAUGAUGUAAAAGAGAGAUCCUGGUCCUUGCAAGUAAAUCCUGAAGAAGGUCUCAACUGAUACAAAGGGAAACUAACAAUUUCCCUAACAGUAAGGUUAAAACGAUGAGUGGGAUACAUGCUGUGUAAAACCAAUAGUGUCUAUUAGGAGUUAAAAGCAGUGCUGAGACAGUUACUGUCAACAUCUACAUGAAUGUUAAAGUCUCCCACUAUAAUGACUUUAUCUGUGCUAUGAACUAAGUCAGAUAAGAAUUCAGAGAAUUCAGUUAAGAACUCCGAAUAUUCAGCCGGAGGACGGUAAACAAUACAAAACACAACUGGCUUCUGAGUUUUAGAGUCUGGGUGAGAAAGGCUCAGAGUGAGGCUCUCAAAUGAGUUAUAACUAUGUUUAGGUUUAGGAGUAAUUAAUAAAUCUGAGUUAUAAAUUGCUGCUAGUCCUCCAACUGUACCUGUACUUCUUGGAACAUGAUAGUUGAUGUGACUCUUUGGAGUCGACUCAUUUAAAGUAACAUAUUCAUCCUGCUGCAGCCAGGUUUCAGUGAGACAGAACAGAUCUAUGUGAUGGUCACUUAUCAAGUCAUUUAUUAACAAGGAUUUAGAUGAGAGAGAUCUGAUAUUUAAUAAACCACACUUUAUUAGCUUACUGUUACUUUGUUCUGUAAGAGGAACUGUUUUGAUGCUUAUUAAAUUCUGGUAAGUCACUCCUCUUUGAUUUGUUUGUGACUUGUAUAGUUUAGGUGGUCGGGGAGCAGACACAGUCUCUAUGCGAUAACUAAGACUAAGAGUGGGUGGCGGCUCUAGAGAACAUGCAGAGAGGCGUGUAAGACUGAGACUCUGCGUCCUGGGCUCCACUCUGAGUUGUCACGGAGUGGGGAGACAAAGCAACAUGGCCAUGUUACUAGAGAGCAGAGAGGCUCCGUCCAACGUGGGAUGGACGCCGUCUCUUCUAAUCAGCCCAGGUUUUCCCCAAAAAGUGCUCCAAUUAGCCACAAAGCCCAUCGUUUGCAGGACACCACCUAAACAACCAGCGGUGGAGCGAUUACAGCCGGCUAUACAUGUCAUCGCUGGUCACAUUGGGGAGGGGCCCAGAGAAAACUACGGAGUCCGACAUUGUUUUGGCGAACGAACACACCGACUCAAUGUUAGUUUUAGUGACUUCCGAUUGGCGUAACCGGGCGUCAUUAGCUCCUGCGUGUAUUACGAUCUUAACGUACUUACGCUUAUCCUUAGACAGGAGCUUAAGAUAAGACUUAAUGUCGCCCGCUCUGGCCCCAGGCAAACACUUAACUAUGAUCGCUGGAUUCUCUAACUUCACGUUUCGGACUAUGGAGUCACCAAUGAUCAGAGUGGGUUUCUCAGCGGGUGUGUCACUGAGUGGGGAAAAUCUGUUUGAAACGUGAAGCGGUUGGUGGUGAACCGUGGGCGCCUGCCUAAAGCUAUGUUUCUUACGAGCCGUGACCCAGUCGUUAACCAGCUGCCUGGGACCUGCCGGGGGACUGGUAGCAGCUAAGCUAGGAGGCUCCGCACCAGCUAAAGUGGCCUGGCUAGCUGGCCUGUUUUCUAAAGUGCGAAGCUGAGACUCUAAGUCUAAGAACCUCGCCUCCAACCCUGCAACUAGCGUACACCUAUUACAGAUACCAUUACCAUCACUAAAGGAGGCAGAGGAUAAGCUAAAAAUAAGACACACCGAGCACCAAACACAGCGAGAGGGAGAAGAACAGGGGCAAGCCAUAGCAGGAAAGUAAGUAAGUAAAGAGUAGUGGGACAUUUAAAUGAAAAGAAGGAUGCUUCAGUAUUACAAGCUUGUUUUGCAACUCUAAGCAGUUACUACCAGAUAUAAGGCGAUAAUAUUUAGAAAAGAGUAGAGAGUAACGCCAUACACACACAGAGGCAGCAAACCUCAGUAACCGGAGGUGACGCAAUACGCUUACCGUCACUCAGCCAAACACUUGCAUCCCCAAGCUUGGUGGGAGAUAUGUGAGAAAUAUUCAGCACUGUCAUCUAUGCUUUACAUGCUAUUUUCAACUGUUUUAAAUGUUUCGCCUACUUUCAGCAGUUCUUUAGGAAUACAUUCAGCAUGGAAGCAUUCACUGUGCAUUUUCUUAUGGAAAUGCUUUAUCUAGUUAUUAUUAUUAUUCUGUACGGUUUUCUGCAUCUAACUAGUCCCACAUGCCUUCAGCUAGAGAAACCAUUCAAAUGUCAAAAUAUUGAGCUUUUUAAGGAGUGUGCUUGCAUACACCUUUUUAAUGUCGUUCAUAUUUUUCAAGUUAUUAAGCUUUUUUCAUAAAGGUUUCUCCAUUCAAAUAAAUGAAAAAGCAUUUGCAAAUACUCUUCAGCUUUGUCUUCUUUCAGCUUUAACUACUUCAGCAUACUUUAAGCUACAGACACCGUUCAAACUUUAAAACAGUCUUCAGCCUUUCAGCUAUUAAUCUUCCGUUCAGCUUCUUAAUGGUCCUUGCACAUGCAAAAUUCACUUUUUAGACAUUCUGGUACGUUUAUUUGACUCCCUGGUUCACGUUAAAACACUGCUGGUGUGUUAGAAGUACGCCCCCUACUUAUUUCACAUUUUUGAGAGUUUAUCCAAUCUGGUUCAAGAACCAUCGUUUCAAAUUUGGCGGACUAUGCACGUCUGCAUUCUAUUGACCACUCACAGAAGCAGCUUUGGCCCCGCCCAGACAAACCUGGACCCCUAAAUGUACCUGCAACAUUGCGUUUCAGUCACUCACUGUGCAGUCUAGCGUAAUAGGUGGCGCUAAUGCACCUUUCAGUUGGUUGCCACCCGCCAUUUAAAAGACAAAAAAAGAAAAGUCACUCACUGUGACACGAACUGACAUGAGGCCAUUAGGGUUCAGAAAGUGCUCCGUUGUUGGUGGUUCCAACCAGCAUCGCAGCCUUUUCAUUUUACCAGCGGAGCAAGAAAGGAGAGUAUAUUUAUUACUGGGUUUACGGUUGAACAAGCGCUCCGUUCCUACAAGACGUGAUCCACUUGCUGCUUCCCCAAACAUAAGUACAUGCUUGAUACUUAUUUGAUGUAUGUACUCCAGAAGUUUCUCUGUUUAUAAUGUAGCUUACCUCCUGUGUAAGAAAUGCUAAUGGUUAGAACAGUUGAAUCUAACAGCUACAGAGAGAGACAGUGUUGCAAGGUGCUGCCAUGCAAUUUGGAUGAGCCUCUCCAGCAUUCGUCUGGUUCGAAUCGUGUGAUAUAUGGUACUGAGGUCAAUCACUCAGCUCACAUUAUAGCUGCUAGCGUCAUGUUAGCCGCUAGCGCUAUGGUAGCGCAGCGUUAGCAGCUAGCGUUAGCCUCCACAUUCAGUACAACUUGGGUUUGGCUGCGAUAGUAAGUUGUGAGAGUCAGCUGUGUUUCUAAUUACUAACAAGCCUGUCGUGUGUAUGUCGUAGCCCAAGUAGACCUGUGAAUUUGGGUUAUGGCUAGUUCUAUCUAAGUCUAACAUGUAUGUUGUUGCUGUCUUCUCAUAAGUGUUGCUUAUCUAGUCCGCUAAUUGUAAACGUGACUGUUUUUUUUUUUUAUACAGGCUGACGCAUCCUAGCUACCGAAAGGAAAGGAGGUUGUUUCUCAAACUGACGCCACUGCAGGCUGUGGACACACGGCUAGCUUGUAGAAGAGUUGUUGCUCAACUCAGGAGCAAAGGUAUAAGAAUAAGAAUAAGAAUAAGAAAACCUUUAAUAGUCCCGCAGUGGGGAAAUUACCUCUCACAACAGCAGUACAGAUGAGCAAGAAUACAGGUACAGAACAGUUUGUGUUAGCACAGUACAAAGCAGUACAGUACAGUUAGAGUGAGUAUGAGGUCAUUGCAGGGUUAUUGCACAGUAAUGGGUAUAAGAUUUGUACCGGUAACAAUAUACAUGAUUGUUCACAGAUUUACACAAAUAUUGUGCAGAGCAGGUUGCUAUAUAAACCACUGAUGCAGUGGGUGAGUGACUGUGGUGGGAUGUGGUCAACAGUUCUGAUUGUACAGUCUGACAGCAGCAGGUAGGAAGGAUCUACGAUAUCUCUCCUUCACACAGCGAGGGUGGAUCAGUCUGCUACUGAAGCUGCUCUCCAGAGCAGACAGUGAGUCCUCCAGUGGGUGAGAGACCUGGUCCAUGAUGGAUGUCAGUUUAGCCAGGACCCUUCUCUCACCCACCUCCUGCACCGUGUCCAGAGUGCAGCCCAGGACAGAGCUGGACUUUCUGAUGAUCCUGUCCAGUCUCUUCCUGUCCCUCGCUGUGAUGCUGCUGCCCCAGCAGACCACACCGUACAGGAUGGCUGAUGCCACCACAGAGUCAUAGAAGGUCUUCAGGAGUGGCCCCUUCACUCCAAAAGACCGCAGUCUCCUCAGCAGGUAGAGUCUGCUCUGACCCUUCCUGUACAGUGCAUCCGUGUUAUGAGUCCAGUCCAGUUUAUUGUUCAGAUGCACUCCCAGGUACUUGUAAGAGUCCACUCUCUCAAUGUCCCUUCCCUGGAUGUGCAUCGGUGGGAUGAGAGCAGGCUGCUGUCUGCGGAAAUCCACCACCAUCUCCUUCGUUUUCCCUACAUUGAUCAGGAGGUGGUUCCGCUGGCACCAGUCCACAAAGUUCUGAGUGAGUAUGUACAUUUAACAGCAGUAUGAUCAUUUGUUGGUCAAUGGGCAGUUUUAUUUGACAGAGAUUUUGGAUUUCACAUUUAAGUAGUUGCGGUUGAAGUAUUCAUAAUCUGAUCUAUAUUAUUGUCUAUAUAUUUACUCUGUAUGCAGUUGGUCAACUUAUUUUGAUAUUUUAGUCUGUUGAUGGGUAAUUAGUAACUCUAGUGUUAUGGUGCAGAUUAUGUGGAAAAUGUGAUGGAGACCAUCUUCAAAAAAGUCCUGCUGGACUCAGGUUGUUCUAUGGAGGAACUUGUAAACAUCCCUGUCCCACCGGCCCUCUGAGCAGAAUUUGAGCAACCUGACAGAAAGGAGGUCAUUAAUGUCAUGCUAAGAUUUAACAAACCAGCACUAUAAAAUAAGUUGAAAACGUGUUUGCUCCAAACACCAUUAAAACUGAUCUAACUACCUCCAUUUAUUGUUUAGAUCUGUAAAGGUUGUGAGAUACAUAGGAAAUACUGGACAUUUCAUUAAUCUACUAUUCUAUUCUCUAUACCUUCUAGAGUAGUGUCAAAGAAAACAGCUGCAUCCUCCAUCUGUACAGCAGCUGCACUGCUUCCGAUGUCUUAUAACACGUGAUGAAGACAAAAAAUAUCCUCAAAUCUCCCCAUCGUUUCAACAUAACUAUCAAACCUACCUAUUCAUUUUGUGGUCUGCACAUUGAGCUGUGAAGGAAAUACUGCCCUGAUCCAGACCAGGGAAGGUGGGAUGACUUGGACUUUUCGCCCUAGAAGUCCCCAGCACCAGGUAACAAGACUUCUAGGCUAGAUACCUGCAACAACAGAGAGAUACACACAGACAUAGUACUGAAAAAAAAGAUAACUACAUUUCCAUUAGUUAUAUAUUAGCACUUGAUAUAUCAUAUACCUUACUAAAAGCAAUUAAAAAUAUAUUAGGUCAAUAUGUAUUUAGAAACAAAAUUAUGUUUGUAAACCAGAGUUCCCAGGUACAAUAUGAUUACUCUGUAAAUAGUAAAUAGUUUAUGAAUUUCUGAGAUACUGAUUUAUUCCAUGCAUGUGUAAUUGUCUGAUAUACUGUAUAUUAAAUGUGUUCUGUAAUGAAUACACAUUCAAUCAUACUGGCUCCAGUCCUGGAUCAUCAUACUGUCAUGUAUGGUUGAUGAUGGCUAAUUACAGACAAAUACGUCAAUAUAUAAGCUGCAGCUGAAGAUCCCAUUAUGGAAAAAUUAUUUUGACACAGCAGAAAAAAAGAAAAAAAAAUGUAAAAAUGAGUUUAUAUUAGUUUAUCAAGCUAUGCUCCCAAACAGCCUGUAAGUGUGUUAUGAAUAUUCUGGUAAUUAAUUAAAGCUGCCUAUUGGCAACCAUUAGUAUUAGCGUUAGCAGCUAAUCAAGUUGCAUAUUAUAUAAAUCAAUAAAUUAAAUUAAAUUAAAUGUGAAAUUGCCAGUUAGACGUACCUUGCACCAGUCGUAAACACUUCAACAGCCUCCCAUUCGACUUCAGAGUCAGAUUUUGGAUCAAACAUAUAGUUGAACGCCACUUCGAGGACGAGGUAGCGAGUUUCGCUUUUACGGUGGAUUCAGUGACCAUGACUUUUGAUUUCAGCGGCGAAUCACGGCUGUGCGCUUCCUUAAAGGGGUGUGGCCAUCAACUCCUCUUGUGACACAGCCCUAAAACUGAGCGUUGUGGACGAGAGCUUAAAGGGGUCAUAUUAUGCAAAAUCCACGUUUUAGACAUUUUGGUGCGUUCCUAUGACUCCUAUGAUAAGGUUUUUAAAUGUUAGUUUGUCUGUUUAAAAUGUAGUAACCCAUGUGAAACAAGCUAAUAGCUAGCUAUGCUAACGGCUACAGCCUAUCGACCGAUCCUUUGUCCCCUUCAAAUGUGCUCAUGUGGGCUCCUGCAGCAACACACCUGUGUGGAGAAAAGCUAAUAGGUAUCGGCAUCGAGCAGCUACAGACAGGGAGCGGUGGAACUAGCUCGCUGUAGUAAGUACGUGCUUGAUACUUACUAUGUUGGUUGGUCUGUUUAUUAUGUAGUAACCCACAUGUGAGACAAGCUAAUGGCUCUCGGCAUCGAGGGGCUACAGGCAGGGAGCGGUGGAUCCAGCUUUUGUCCUGUUGACGUGCUGCCGCUCCUAUUUGUGUGUUGCAUUAGCCGUUAGCAUGUCGUUAGGCCUUUCCACUUAAGAGCUAAAGCUGGUCGAGAGAAGAGAAAUCACUGCAGACUCUUGCUACACAGACAUCUGCUGCACAGCUCAGGAGUGAAGUACCUUUUGUUUUGAUGAGGUGAUGGUGAGCACAGCCACAGCUUCCAUCUGGUAGAGGACUGCUUCCGCUCAGUCUUCCAAAUAGUGAUGAGAACAAGGAUCACCACAUUUCCCUGGUCAUCUAUUUACAACUAUACCUCUCCUGCUGCAGAAACAAAUCUCCAACAUAACCAAGUGUACCCCCUACCCAGGACAUGGACUGUUUACCCUACUUCCAUCAGGCAUUUCAUCUGCAAGGCCCUGCAAAAGCUUCUUUCCUCAAACCCCCAGACUUCUUAAUUAACUCAGUAACCUAUACUUUGCACAUUGGAGUGUGAAGGUAACAGUUUGUUCCAGCUUUGGAGUAGUGGUGCAUUUUUUUGGUUGAGAAUAAAGUUGGCUUUAACUAUUA